rnacentral:rRNA from 1 species
GACGAACGCUGGCGGCGUGCCUAAUACAUGCAAGUCGAACGCACUCUCGUUUAGAUUGAAGGAGCUUGCUCCUGAUUGAUAAACAUUUGAGUGAGUGGCGGACGGGUGAGUAACACGUGGGUAACCUGCCCUAAAGUGGGGGAGUAACAUUUGGAAACAGAUGCUAAUACCGCAUAAACCUAACAACCGCAUGGUGUAGGGUUGAAAGAUGGUUUCGGCUAUCACUUUAGGAUGGACCCGCGGUGCAUUAGUUAGUUGGUGAGGUAAAGGCUCACCAAGACCGUGAUGCAUAGCCGACCUGAGAGGGUAAUCGGCCACACUGGGACUGAGACACGGCCCGAGACUCCUACGGGAGGCACGCAGUAGGGAAUCUUCCACAAUGGACGAAAGUCUGAUGGAGCAACGCC